GUGUCAGCCGCCGCGGUAAUACGUAGGGGGCAAGCGUUGUCCGGAUUUAUUGGGCGUAAAGAGCUCGUGGGCGGCUUGGUAAGUCGGAUGUGAAACCUCCAGGCUUAACCUGGAGUCGCCAUUCGAUACUGCUAUGGCUAGAGUUUGGUAGGGGACCACGGAAUUCCUGGUGUAGCGGUGAAAUGCGCAGAUAUCAGGAGGAACACCGGCGGCGAAGGCGGUGGUCUGGGCCGGUACUGACGCUGAGGAGCGAAAGCGUGGGGAGCAAACAGGAUUAGAUACCCCCGUAGUCC
rnacentral:rRNA from 1 species